AAAGAGUUAAAGAUUUGCUUGGCGCCACUACGCGUCUUCUGGCAAAUAUAUUAGAAAUAUCCGUCACGUGGAGCGCCGUUGGAUUAGUGCCCUGACAGCCGACGCGCAUGACCACCUCCUACUUCUUGCAACAGGUGCUCAGUUUCGGAAACAAUAUCCCUUGUAUGUGUUGGUCCGUGGAUCUUUUAAAAAGAUCCGCCGCCUCGUGAGCCAUUUUAUUACGUGACGCGAGCCGUUUGAUUACGUGACGCGAGCCGUUCAAUUCUUCUCUCUAAUUUCCAGCAACGAUGCUCUUGUUGUAAGAUUUGGUCUUCUAUGAUUUCCUACAAGAAGACCUUUGUUGCGAAACCUCAUCUUCUACAAAUUUCUGCAACAAGACCCAUGUUGCAAAACAUCUUCUUCUCCAAUUUUUUGCAACAAGACUUUUACAAAAAUUGCAACAACAUCUCCUGCCGCGUCUACUUUUCUGCAACAACAACUUUCACGCGUCUAAUUUCUGCAACGAGAUCCUUGUUGAAAAAAUUACAACAACAUCUUGCGUUGUGUCUAAUUUUCUACAACAAGACCCUUUUUGCAAAAAUUACAAGAAGAUCUCAUGCAGCGUCUAAUUUUCUGCAACGUGACCCUUGUUGCAAAAAUUGCAACAAAUUUAUUGUUGCGUCUGAGCUCGAGGAGGCGAGAGCCAAGGACACCGACGCUCCUCUAGGACGGCGGCGACAUUGAACGACGAGCGACAACAGAUGCAGCUCCAGCCGUAACAAAUGCCAGAGGGCGGCGUUGAUGAUGGCCGGGGAUGGCUCGUUGACGCAGAUCCAACAAACCAGCCGUCUCCCUCCUAGUAUCGUCGUCGUCGUCAUCUCGGUGGAUAUGCCACCCCCCUACGGAUGUAACCGCCCCAGGGAGAACCGCCAUGAACGCCUACAGAAUCGCCAGAAAUGCGGGGGUAAAGGGAUGGGGGAUCUCAGAUCCAUACCUGCUGGAGUCGACGUCGGCCACAGACGAGCCGCCACCGCGUUGUAUAUGCCCAGUCGCCCAACGCCCUAUGCCGCUAGCCCGCCGACCUCUCAAAUCCAGAAGCGUCGCCCUCCCAAAGACAUGAGACGACGGAGCUGCCAGUUGCAGAAAUGUUGUCCUGGAACAAGGGCUAUGUUUCAGAAAAACGGACGCGCGUGACGCGGAAGCGGGGACGCCCUCAUCCGUCUAAUCAACAGACGAUCUAACGAGCACGGAGCCGGCGGGCGCGGCGUACAUGAUCGGUCGGAUGAAGGUAAGCUUUUUAUGAUAACCUGUUAAGAUAUGAAGCACUUGAAACGUGCUUUUUUUUU
rnacentral:lncRNA from 1 species